UGUUACUGGCGGCAUGGAUAAAUGAUCAGUCGAUCUGUUCACAGCUGAUCAGAUCAGAUCAGCGGAUAAGAGGAGCAGCUGCUGUGAGUGAAUGCAAACUUUUCGACCCAGCAGAAUCAACGACAUCUGCUGGCACUUUGGGCCGUAACGCUUUUACCAUGUGCCCCUGCAGCAGCAGCACUGCAGACCUGAAAGAAGAAAUCCUUUCCCCUUAGACGAGCCAGAAAACCACCCACUUUGCAGAAUCCACCAUGUAAAUUGCGGUGCGUCAGAUGCAGACGUACGUGGCUUUCAACGGAAGUGGGAGAUGACCCUCUGAUUUGUUGAAUCUAUGUAACAUUCAAAACACACACGCAUUUUGCAAGUGACUAAAUACAACUCUUCCUGUGCCUUACUUUGUGCCCUGAUAAUGCACUGUUGAACGAGCAAAAGUGGAGCUGGACACAGCCUACAUGCACUGCACCAUGCACUAUAAACUACUCUCACUGGCCACUUCAUUAGGUACACCUUGCUAGGACCAGGUUGGCCCCUUUUGCCUUCAGAACCACCUUAAUUCUUGGUGUCAUAGAUUCAACAAGGUGCUGGAAACAUUCCACAGAGAUUUUGGUCCAUAUUGACAUGAUAGCAUCACACAGUUGCUGCAGAUUUGUCAGCUGCACAUCCAUGAUGUGAGUCUCCUGUUCCACCACAUCCCAAAGGUGCUCUAUUGGACUGAGAUCUGGUGACUGUGGAGGCCAUUGGAGUACAGUGACCUCAUUGCCAUGUUCAAGAAACUAGUUUCCAUGCCUUGUGGAAUAUAAUCAGACUACCAUCUGAAUGUGGCAGCAGAAAUCCAGACUCAUCAGACCAGGCAACGUUUUUCCAAUCUUCUAUUGUCCAGUUUUGGUGAGCCUGUGUGAACUGUAGCCUCAGUUUCCUGUUAGCUGACAGGAGUGGCACCUGGUGUGGUCUUCUUCUGCUGUAGCCCAUCUGCUUCAAGGUUGGACGUGUUGUUGGUUCAGAGAUGGUCUUCUGCAGACCUUGGUUGUAACCAGUGGUUAUUUGAGUUACUGUUGCCUUUCUAUCAUCUUGAACCAGUCUGGCCAUUCUCCUCUGACCUCUGGCAUCAACAAGGCAUUUUGGCUCACUGGAUAUUUUCUCUUUUUGGGACCAUCCUCUGUAAACCCUAGAGAUGGUUGUGUGUGAAAAUCCCAGUAAAUACUCAGACCAGCCCGUCUGGCACCAACAACCAUGCCACGUUCAAAGUCACUUA